GUUUUCUUUCCCCCUCCUUGCACCUAGCAGGGAGAGGAGUGUGCGGAAAGAUGGAGUUGAGACAGAAACUUGUUAGCAUAACACCGAAGGAGUUUUGCUGUGAGUAGCAUCAGCAUAGCAGGAGAACAUCCCUAGCUCUCCUGCCGCUGCUCUGCCACAAGGAGAGAAAGGGAAAAGCAAAUUCAGCAGGACCUCUAGGACUUUGCUGUAGAUCUCCAGGUGGAGCCAGGACCCUCCAGGAGAACUGAUGGCUAGAAAAGACUGCAAGUAAUGUGGAGGAAGGAAGAAGAGAGAGAGCAGAGAGAGAUGAUUCUUGCAAACAUUGAUCUGUGUAGAGCGGAUGUCAACUUGAUGGGAUAAGACCUGGGUUGACUUGGUAUCUGGGUUCAGGUCAGCAAACUCUAACGGCAUUUCCUUCUACUAGCAGACAGAUCUGCUCAUCCUGCGACAUUGUGGACAGUGCUGAAUGGCUUCCAGAACAUUCCUCUUAUGUCUACUGGUUAAACUUUGAAGCAUCUGAACCAUUUGGGAGAGCAGGGACCCCCAUGAACAGGAGAUACUGGAGGUGUCUGAGGCCACUUCAUGCCCUUUCUCAAGAGUGGCCUGCAGGUCUUUCAGCCACUGGCCACUGAAGUCCAGCUCCUGCCAGCCAUGGAUUUGGGCACUGGGCUCCAGUGUUGAGAAAGUUCUUGACUUCCAGCGCUUGUUUUCCUAGUGGACAAUAGGAGUCAGAGACAGAGAGGGAGAGUGAAGAUGCAGAAGACAUAUCCUUUCCAUUGUGACCCAGAUAAGAAUGUAGCCGGUGAGCUUGCUUCCUGUCACUCAUUUCCCAGCUAUUUGUUGUAGUCCAAGUUGUGCAUAUUCUUUCUGUUAGGUUCUUAUGUUUGUCUUAAGCUCACCCAUCUUUUCUUCUUCCUUCAUUUUUUUUUAAAUUUGCAAAUAAGAUUACUGUAUUAUAGAUUUGAAGAUGCACCCAAUUAUUUUAUAAGCUUUUUUUUAUGUAACACUAAGAAAUUAAAAAAAUGCUGAAGGUGCAGUCUAGUAGGAGACCCUGCAGCUGAAAUGCUGAAGUCAUUCUUUGUGUGCAGGAAACAAGAAAAAAGCCUGCCAUGCAGAAAGUCACUGAGAAACCUGCUGGCCUCCAUGGUGGCACGUGGGGGAGGGAGGAGAAGAAAACUCCUGAAAGAAUGUGGACCACACAGCAUGCUCUGGUGGGUAUGUGGGCUGACAAAGAACAGGGAGCGCUAACAGUGAAAAUGAAGAGCCUGCCCCGCCUCCCAGCGUGGACCUUGACCUGGGGCCAGACCAAGGCCACUUUAUAGAAACGUCCCUGGAGCGUGUCUCAGGUGGCCCUGCCUGCAUCCUGGCCUACCUCUGGGGCCCUUCUUACCCACAGUCCUACUUUCCACCCACCUUGACCCCAAGAGGUGUUCAUUUAUAACGCCCCUGCAUCUUCUCAACUUCAAAGUCAGCUCGGACCUCGUUCACCCAGACAAGACCUUGGCUGAGUCUUGACAAACUGGCACAGGGUCCCCCGACAGAAGACAGCUUUCCUUUCUCUUUGCUUUCCUUUAUCUUAGCCGAGUCCGGCCUCCCCAGCACUCUUUUCCAUCUGGGGACAGUUCGUGCUGGUGGGAAUUGGCAGGGGCACACGGUCCAGACAGAGACAACUGAAACACAGGUGUCCCGCUGGUGUGCCAGCAGGGCGGCCGUCCUACCAGGAGCAGGACACUUUGUUGGCCACUGCCCAUGCAAUAAUCAGCGUGGGACAAACAGUCCCAUGGGGAGUGAGGUGAUGUGAAGAAAAGGAAGCCGAAGAAGAGAAGAAGCUGAAGGGCCAGUAAACACACACAUAGACGCUCACCCUCCCCUUCGUUGGAAAAAUGAACGGCUGCUGUUGCCGAGGGCUGGUGAGGAUGAGGCCCCAGGCCUGCAGGAGGGCACAUCCGGUUGGCCGCCUCGACGGGGCCAUCUGGGUAGCUGCUGCCCUUUGCAUGUAAAUAAAGCUCCUCAAAGCCCCAUUUCACAACUGCUGGGAGAAACAGCAUCCUUCCCUCCUUCCCUAUAUUUCCAGGGAGGAGGUGGCUGGUUUUUUUUGUUGUUGUGUUUUUUUUGUUUGUUUGUUUUGUUUUGUUUUGUUUUUUCCAGAUUUCUCCCAGCCACAUCCAGCUUCUUGUUCUGUAAUUUUUUUUUCCAAAUUACUGACUGCCUUCUUUCAAGGGGAAAUGGAACUCAGAAAGAUGGGAAGAUACAUGAUAAGAGCACUUAAGAGAGAAGCCUGUCCAUUUCCACUAAGGUUGAAGUGUGCAUACUCCAGGAUCCAGUCCUUCAUGUCUACACAAGGAGUCCCAGGAAAAGGUCUGUGCAAAACGUUUGUAAUUGCAACGGAGCAGCCACGACCUAGCCCUCCUUCAGCAGAGGAAUGAAUAAACUGGUUUAUUCAGUCAACGCAGCAGUUAAAAUGAGAGAAUUAGUGAUGUUGAAAGGAAAAAUGAAGAGCAAACAGAUACAGUAGGAAGUUAUCACGUACAUUUCAAAAACAUUCAAAACAACCGUACAUAUUUAUGGAUUCAUGUAAUAAUGCAGUAAAAAUACAAAAUCAGAGCCAGGACUGUGGCACACUGAAUUCAGCACAAUGGUCGUCUCUAAAUGUGGGUUCAUGUGGGAGGAGGUGACCCCGGGGUGGGGGCUUCUGCUGUAUUUGUCAUGUUUGGGUUAUUUGAAAGGGAGAGAGAGCACUGUAGUUAUACAGUAAAAUGCAAACAUAUUUUUUAUUUUAGUGGUGAGUAUACAGGUGUCUGUUGUGCUGUUUUCUGUGUGUUUGAAUGGUUUCAUAAUUUUUAGAAAAUUAAACCAUGAGGUCGGAUAUGGUGGCUCACCCCUGUAAUUCCAGCACUUUGGGGGGUCAGAGCAGAAGGAUUGCUUGAAGACCAGCCUGGGCAACAUAGCAAGAUUCUAUCUUUACAAUUUCUAAAACAUUUUUCAAUUUAAAAAUGAUAAACAAUGAAAAACUGCAAAGAAAUAGAUUGAAAAGUUCACAGUUGCUUUUGCCACAUUUUGUGAAUAUGUUAUUUUUAUAAUGAAAAAUUACAGAUAAUUUUGAUUGCUUUGAAAAGUAAUUAUGUGGAAAAGAAAAACAAAUAGCAAACCAUGGCAUAGUUCCUGAGGCCUGCAUCUUUCUAGCAGCCUCUUGGCAAAUCGGGAGCUCUUUGUGAGGUGUGAUUACCAAAACCCGCUGGAAGGGUAUCAGCACCACCUCACAAUGAACCCAGUGUUGCUAAUUCUGACGCCAAUAUUUCCACAGGACUCAGUUGAUGGAAUCUUCCUGAAUGUGUUAUUUAUGGUACCAAAUGAAAAAAGACCUCAUUUACCAGCCACACUCUAGGCUGCAAAGAGACAGAUUUUUAGGCAGGUUCUUCAUUUUAUUUUUGCCCCAUUUAAAACCAGCAUCUUUGUAGUAACCAAAGUUAAUUCAGGGCACAUUUUGCUGCAUUAGGUCCUGGGCCUGUGAUCACUAAGACCUUUUGAAAUGUAAAUAAAGCUCCCAAACCCCCAUUUCACAAAUACUGGGAAAGCCAGGCUCCCUCCCAAAUUUCCAGGGCGGAGAGGCGCGCGUUAAGAUUCCUCCCAGUCGCCUCUAGCUUCUUGUUUCGGAAUCCCUGCCCCAGAUUACUGAUCGUCUCACUGCAUUAUCUUCCUGAAUUUGUGUCUCCUUCAGGGGGGAUACCUCCCACCUCAAGGUGUGAGAAAUUGGGGCACCCAUGGGAGAGAUGGAGGUGGCUACAUUACUGCACCCCAAAACCUCCUGAAGAUAAACGUCACAUAUCCUUGCAAUCAAAUCCCCGGUUGUUAAACGCCCUCUGCUCUCCUUGCCGGCAGGAACUUCCCAGUAGCUCUUUCCCAAGUGGAACCUCCCCUGUCAUUUUGUUUGUUUGUUUGUUUGUUUGUGGUUUUUCAUCUGGGUUUUGUUGUUGUUGUUGUUGUUGUUGAGAAGGAGCCUCGCUCUGUCACCCAGGCUGGAGUGCAGUG
rnacentral:lncRNA from 10 species